AAACGACUCUCGGCAACGGAUAUCUCGGCUCACGCAUCGAUGAAGAACGUAGCAAAAUGCGAUACUUGGUGUGAAUUGCAGAAUCCCGUGAACCAUCGAGUUUUUGAACGCAAGUUGCGCCCGAAGCCUUCAGGUUGAGGGCACGUCUGCCUGGGCGUCACGCA
rnacentral:rRNA from 1 species